AUUCUAAUGUAGUUCAUAGUGUGAAGAUUGGGUGUUUGUGCUCUUGUGUGAGAUGUGCCUCCCUCAAACCUUGUUAUGACAUUGGCACAUUACCCAUCUGACC